UAAAAGCAGGAUAAAACGGCAACGCAUUCUUUCUGAGAGAUGCCAGAGCUGGUAGGUAGCCCAGCCGUCUACACCGCACGGUGUAGUAAAGUAACCUUCCCCUCCGGGGUUGUCCGUUCCUGUAAGGAUUUAU
rnacentral:ncRNA from 1 species